AUGGAGACUCAUGCGAGAUGCACAAGCGGCGAGUGUUCAACUACCGCUUGAGCAGGGCCCGGCGAGUCAUUGAAAACGCCUUUGGGAUCCUGGCACAACGGUGGAGAAUUCUGCGGCUACCGUUUAAAGCGAAGACCGAGAACAUAAUUAGAUAUGUGGGAGCCUGCAUAGUGCUGUACAAUUUUUUGAUGAAGGAGUCUGCAGCCUCUUCUGCUGCAUACUGCCCGCCAGGUUCUGCCGACAGCGAGGACUGGGAAGGACGACUUUCUCCUGGCAGCUGGAGGGAGGAGGCAUCAGCCGGUGGUAUCCUCUUGCCAUCAAAGUCACGCUGCUUGGUAUGCAAAAGAAGUUCGGGACAAGCUGGCACACCACUUCGUCACAGCCGGCCAAGUUCCCUGGCAAGAUAAAGUGGUCUCCAGUACUUGAACUGCACGAUAACUGCAGGUCUCCGUGUCUGCUUCCAUGGCGACUGAGGAAACCUAUGGUUGGCUGCCAUCUGUUACUUCUGCUCGGCUGCAAUGACAGUGGAAAAGCAACCUUUUACAUAUGACCUUGCUACAUGUGGUCAGCUGCCUGCCAGUCAUUCACGCCUACUCACCUCACAUUAUGCACAUGCUGUAGUAUAAUAAGCGAUGUGUAUUUCUGUUCACCUCUUAAGAAAACAACAUUGUCAAUGUUUUCUGCUGUACUGCUCUUUCAGUUGCUCUAAAUGGUGUUCUAUUUUUACUACUUUUUGACUUGUACUUGGUUAUAAUUCCUUGUCAUUUUUGCUUUUGUUUCGUUUCUCAAUCUUCAUAUUGUUAUUUAUAUGCCCUUUUUCGGUCAACUUUAUAUUCCUUUUAUGUAUUUGCCUUGUGCUGCGUCUAUUGCACCGUUGCUCUGAUUUAUUAUUUCUGUACUGUAUUUAUAUUGAUAUGUACCUCUCGCCCAUGCUCUUCAGAGCCUGUGAGGUAUCAUAAAGAAAAAAAAAAUAGUAUGAGAUGUACCAGCAUACAAGCAAUGUUUUGAAAUGUUGUGAAUUAGCACUUUUUGCCCUGAUAAGUACAAUUUUGUAAAGUUGUGAAGGUUCCACUUACGGUUAGCUUUACAUUACGGUCACCCAUUGCAGGGCAGAAACUACAUAGUUUACGCCUAUCUUAAAUGUAGGCUGCAAUUUAUACGUUACCUUGAUCGAGUGUCCUCCAUGCUGCACAGUACCUUGAAAGAAGUUCACCGUCGCAAACCUGAUUAUUGUGGCAUGAUCCAGCUUAUUAAAUUUAUAGGUCUUGCACAUCUUAAUGCCAUGACAUGCAGGUGUUCAAGGGCCACCGUAUUUUUUUAGACAAUAAAAAGUUUCUUUAUACAAGGUUUCGUCCGAGCGUGUUGCGCAAUGACGAGGCUUAUAUAGCAUAAAACCAUGCACGAUAACGAAACCAGUAUAGGUGGGUUUUUAUCCUGAGCACUCCACGACGCAGCAGUAGUGCCAGGGAAGUCAACACCUUGUAAAAGUUAUUGAGACAUCAACGACGGUGACUCAGCAAUGCUGCCAGCUGAAGUAGCUCCGACUAGUAUAGCUGUGACAGAGAAAGAUGCCUUCGAUGGCAUCUUUCUCCAAUAGCCUUCUCCAAGAAGUCCAAUAAGCAUUCGUUCUGCACACUGUGAGGAGUGUUGGCUGAACUUUGCUGCUAGAAUUAGCAGCUCCUAAAAAUGUUUGCAGAAAUUUAGUGAACUUAAGCUAAGCAUUUUGAGAUUAGCAUACAAGCACGCAUACCUAAUCAUGUUCCAUCAUGCCAACUAAAUUACAGUACAGUCUCAUUCCAGUGUUACUUGUAGAUUAAGUUUUCCUUUGAAAAUUGCUAAGAGUUCAACUUCCGACUAUACAGAGGUGCAACCUAUAGUAAUGAGUAUAUGGAAAUAAUGCUUUGUUUGCGAUAGCUAAGUUAAUUUGAGGCUACAGAAAUUUUUUUAUUGUCCAUUGCUUGCCAGUGCAAACCCCAUUUGAAUGUAUGCUGAGCAUGCAUGUCUCCUGUGAAAGUUUCCUUUGUCUGUGCGUUUGCAGGCGUGAAAGAAACUGUUUCAUUGCGACAACAAAAUAAACUUACACCACAGGUUCUGAUGCCACCUCGGUUAAUUCCAGCAUGGCUUCGAAGUGGGGCCAUUGAUGGUGGGGACAUCAACCACUCCUGCACCACUACGCUGCUUGUCGCGCACCUCCUGCUGCUUCCUCUUGAAAAUGUCUUUUAAGUUUUUAAAUUUUUUCUCUGCAAAGGUUCCUGCAAAAUAAAUAAGCAAUUAUACGUUGACAGCAACAUGAGACCACACGAAAUAAAGUAUGCUAUAAAGAAGCCUCUUCUCUCC